rnacentral:tRNA from 1 species
ACUUUUAUUUUUUAAUUAUAAAGAUUUUGAAAAUCUUUCUCGGUAUAAAUUUAUACCUUAAGGUG